rnacentral:lncRNA from 10 species
UGGUAUAAGUAGCAACAGCAUUCCCAGCUCUGUCUAUGUGCCAGGCGAUGUUUUUAGUGCCGUACAUGUAUUGAUACAUUUAUUCCUCUCAACAAUCACUCUUCAGAAAAAAGGGCUGUGUGAAUCCACAGUACUGAAUAAAGCUUGAGGGCAACUGAAAUGAUAAAUAAAAAAUGUCCUAUGGAAUUAUGAAGCAAACAAUGAGGACGCAAUCUUAACACAAAACACUUCAGCUGUGUAUUGGAGCAGAAGCUAGGUGAGAGACUCCAUAAUGGUUUCUUCUAGGUCUUGGCAUUUGUUUGAUAGUAAAGAUCUCAAGAGAAGCUACUACUAAAUAGAUUACAUUGCAAGUCGUGCUCAUAAUAGAAAUCGAUUAUGAAACUAAAUGACAUAUUUGGCCCUUAUUGCUAAAAAACCUUGAUUUUACUAAUAAAAGUAAUACUCUUGGUAGUAAAAUAAUAGUUAAGGCCAGGCGCCGUGGCUCACACCUGUAACUCCAGCACUUUGGGAGGCCAAGGCAGGUGGAUCACCUGAGGUCAGGAGUUCGAGACCAGCCUGGCCAACGUGGUGAAAACCCAUCUCUACUAGAAAUACAAAAAUUAGCUGGGCAUGGUGGUGCACGCCUGUAAUUCCAGCUACUCAGGAGUCUGGGGCAGUAGAACCACUUGAGCCUAGGAGGCGGAGGUUGCAGUGAGCCGAGAUUGCAUCAGGGCACUCCAGCCUGAAUGACAGAGUGAGACUCUGUCUCAAAAAAUAAAAUAACAUAAAAUAAAGUGAUAGUAGAAUGAAAUUAGUAGGAUACAAAUAUAAUAGAGAAGAGG